AGCAGCCGCGGUAAUUCCAGCUCCAAUAGCGUAUAUUAAAGUUGUUGCAGUUAAAAAGCUCGUAGUUGAAUUUCGGGAUUCUACCGUUGGUCGGGCUAACAAGUCUGUACUGGUGUGUAGAAUUUCUACCUUCUGGGGAACUAUCAUGUUAUUAAUUUAGCGUGGUGGGAAACCAGGACCUUUACCUUGAAAAAUUAGAGUGUUCAAAGCAGGCUUACGUCUGAAUACAUUAGCAUGGAAUAAUAGAAUAGGACGGUGGUCCUGUUUUGUUGGUUUCUGAAUCACCGUAAUGAUUAAUAGGGAUAGUUGGGGGCAUUAGUAUUCAAUUGUCAGAGGUGAAAUUCUUGGAUUUAUUGAAGACUAACUUCUGCGAAAGCAUUUGCCAAGGAUGUUUUCAUUAAUCAAGAACGAAAGUUAGGGGAUCGAAGACGAUCAGAUACCGUCGUAGUC
rnacentral:rRNA from 1 species